rnacentral:rRNA from 1 species
UGGGGAAUAUUGGACAAUGGGGGCAACCCUGAUCCAGCGAUGCCGCGUGUGUGAAGAAGGCCUGCGGGUUGUAAAGCACUUUAGUUGGGGAGGAAAGGUAUGUACUGCAUAAGUGCAUGCUGUGACGUUACCCAAAGAAUAAGCACCGGCAAACUCUGUGCCAGCAGCCGCGGUAAUACAGAGGGUGCAAGCGUUAUCCGGAAUCACUGGGCGUAAAGGGUGUCGAGGCGGUUGUAUUAGUCGUUCGUAAAAUCUACGAGCUUAACUUGUAGGCGGCGAACGAAACGGUACGACUUGAGGUUUGGAGAGGUGCGUGGAACUCACGGUGUAGGGGUGAAAUCCGUUGAUACCGUGGGGAACACCAAAGGCGAAGGCAGCGCACUGGCCAAAAUCUGACGCUCACACACGAAAGCUAGGGUAGCGAAGAGGAUUAGAUACCCCCGUAGUCCCUGAGCGGGCUGGCAAGGCGCAU